rnacentral:rRNA from 1 species
AUAAGUAAUCCACCUGGGAGUACGGCCGCAAGGUUGAAACUCAAAGGAAUUGACGGGGGCCCGCACAAGCAGUGGAGUAUGUGGUUUAAUUCGAAGCAACGCGAAGAACCUUACCAGGUCUUGACAUCGUGCGCAUAGCUUAGAGAUAAGUGAAGUCCUUCGGGACGCACAGACAGGUGGUGCAUGGUUGUCGUCAGCUCGUGUCGUGAGAUGUUGGGUUAAGUCCCGCAACGAGCGCAACCCUUGUAUUCAGUUGCUACGCAAGAGCACUCUGGAUAGACUGCCGUUGAUAAAACGGAGGAAGGUGGGGAUGACGUCAAAUCAUCAUGCCCCUUAUGACCUGGGCAACACACGUACUACAAUGGCGUAUAACAGAGGGAAGCAAGACAGCGAUGUGGAGCAAACCCCUAAAAUGCGUCUCAGUUCAGAUUGCAGGCUGCAACUCGCCUGCAUGAAGUCGGAAUUGCUAGUAAUCGCGGAUCAGCAUGCCGCGGUGAAUA